GACCGCGUUGCCGGGAGUGUUGCGGGCGUGCCUGUUGCGUCCGCGGAUUCGCGCGAUUCGGUGCUAGCUUCGGUGUGCGACUCCAUGUGCGACCCCC
rnacentral:tRNA from 1 species